GCGCCGUCUGCAGGAGUGGUGUAUGUUUGGUAGACAUACCGCCGGGGUUGAGGGGCUUCUGAAGGUGGUUGACUUGGAGGGAGAAAGGAGCAAUGGUUUUGCGGCUUAAGUCGUGGCGAGCAGGGCUUGGAGGCGACGACCACGGGAGCCAGCCGCGUGGUGCUGCAAUGUACGUUGUAGCCCCCUGAACUCUAACUCAGUUAGGAUUUGUCAGAAGUGGAUGCAGUUCAGCAGGGGUUUGGAGUCCCACAAGCAGGGUCUCGGAACGGUCCAAAGAGGAUUGAGCAAUGAGGACAGCCAAAAAGAUAUAGUAGGAGGCUAUUCAUAGAAGCUACUUUGCUAAAUGGCAUGUUUCAUCUUACAAUGAUACUACUUUCCAGUGUGGUUGUGAUACGGUGCAUACGAGAUACAACAGAUUGUGCAACAUGAUUGCUACAUUUGAGCCACUCAAUCAUGCAAACCAAUUUUUUUCUUUUGAAAUCUUAGCAAUGUCUUAACUGUUUCAGGGGUGAUGGCUUUGGGUAUGUGUACUGCUGUAGUUAUUGUGAAAAUGGCAAUAGAAAAAGCAAGAAAGAAUUAGUAAUAGGAAGAUAUCUCCCUUUAUUUACUAAUAAUGUAUAUACGACAUUUUUUAGGAUUCUAAUAAGUUCAUUUCAAAUUUAGUAUCAUGGAUGGAGAGUUGAUCUUGCAAUUAGUCUGAAUAUGUGCAUAUUAAUUUGCAAUUUUUCAGAGAACAAUAGACAGGGAAGAUCCAAUUGGAGGCAGUUACAAAGUUGCAAUCACGAGGAAGGUUAAGGUUUGUCUUAUUCAUUCUUAAAUUUCAGUUGAAGAUUUUUCAUCAACAUCUCAGUCCGGCCUUAGUCACAUGAACAAAAUCAUUGUUAUUAGUUUUUGUUCUUACUAAACGCAGCUUGGGAUCUGCUCAAACAGAUUGGUCAGUAUAUUAUAUAAAGGCACAAGUUGUUCUGAGUCUAAUUCUUCAUACCAAUAGUGCAGAAAUAUCUGCUAAGAAAUAAUUCCUAGGAAGAGCUACAGAAAUAGCUAUGUGAGAGAACGAUGGGUAUUUACUGCUCCCUAUCAAUCCAUUAUACAUCAUAUAAAGAUUGCUAUGUUAAAUAACCUGAUUACAUGUCCUUACUGCAACAGAACAGGGAUGUAUUACUGCAAAUAUUAACUAACUUCUUCAUGAUUUAGAGUAUUCUAUAUAACUAAAAAUAGUAUGAGUUCUUUACCACUACAAUAUCCUGCAGAUGAGCUCUUGAUUAUUCUGCCAAAUCUCUCAGGAGUCAAGAGCAUGUGUAUAGAUGGUUAAAUGUGUGGACUGCUAUGACACCAUGUAGCCAAAUCUGGUACAUCUCUUUGCAUCUAACAAAAACUCGGGACUUCCUAUUGGCUUGAGUGAAUACAUGCAUCCUAAACUGAAUACUUGCUUGACUGAGUUAACGCGUUCAUCUACACAUCUGAAUCAUGACUAGCAUGACUCACAAGCAGUUCCUCCAGAUUUAAACUUGAGGUAGCCAUUUUUUUUCUGAUUCUUCAUCUAUUAGUUCCUUUUGUGAUACAGUCCUUCGUGUUUUUUUCUUUCAGAUCUAAUUCCCGCAACUUCACUGGCACAUAAACCAUUUGAUGUAUUACUGAAAGAUGCACGAGUGGUGGUUUCGGUUUUUCAGGGUCCUACAGUGAUAGCAUGCACAUAAAGUAUCUUUCAAAAUGGCAAACUUCGAAAUGCACACAGCUUCCUGUUAAAGGUGAAUCCAACAGGCGGUGUAGCAAUUUAAGGACACCCUGGUUGAAAGGCUUUGUCGCAAUCAUUGUUUAAAUGGCUAAUUAGUGAAUACUUUCUCGGAAAUGGAUCAAGAUGAUGUAACUUCAUGCGAGAACAUUUUUAUUUUCCUUCCUAUCACUUCUAAGAGAUUGCCGAUCCAUGUCUUUUUGAAUGAGAAGUUCAUAGUUUGCUUUAA